UUAACCUCAGCUCAGUCAUGAAUACCCGCUGAAUUUAAGCAUAUAACUAAGCGGAGGAAAAGAAACUAACGAGGAUUUCCCUAGUAACGGCGAGUGAACGGGAAAAAGCCCAGCGCUGAAUCCUUUUAGCCGUUGGCUCUAAGGAACUGUAGCGUAUAGGUGUAACUAUCCAGAUGAUUCGUUCACCCAAAGUCCCCUUGAGCGGGGCUACAGUCCAUAGAAGGUGCUAGGCCUGUACGGGUGGUGAAACGUUUGGUUUGGUUGCACUUUGGAGUCGGGUUGCCUGAGAUCGCAGCCCAAAGUGGGUGGUAAACCUCAUCUAAGGCUAAAUACGGCCACGAGACCGAUAGCAAACAAGUACCGUGAGGGAAAGUUGCAAAGAACUUUGAAGAGAGAGUUCAAGAGGGCGUGAAACCGCUGAGAUGGAAGCGGAUAGCGUUGACAAAACUUAUCGGUAUUCAACCGAUUAAUUUAGCGGUCUUACCGUUCUGUAUCUCUGGUGGUAAAACACAUGGAGAGCAUUGCGGUGAGUUUACUGUUGCAUUGAAUUGGUGUAUUUGCCGGUAGUAUGCGCCGAAAAUUUCGCUGUUGCAUAUUGAGACAUUUUUGGAUGUAGUGGACUGUACCAAUUUUGGUAUGGAAACCUGCAUUCUGUUAAAAUAUGUCUUCGGUGAAAUUACCAAGUGUAUUGUAACUUUCGAUUCACACAACUGUGUGUAUUGCAUUCAUUGCAUCUUGCAAUUGUUACAGUUUGUAUGCAGUCGCUUGCGACUUUUUGGCUUCAAUUUGUUCUUUGCAAAUGCGGUUCAGAUUCAAUGCGAUAAAGUUGCAUUUCGGUGUGAACGUCAACCACCUAUCCGACCCGUCUUGAAACACGGACCAAGGAGUUUAGCAUAUGCGCAAGCUAUUGGGUGGUAAACCCGUUCAAAAGACACAAUGAAAGUAAAGAUCAUUAUUGUUUUGAUUGUUAUGUGAUCCGUAUUGUUGUUAAUACAAUACGGCGCAACAUGGCCCCGUCCAUGUUUAGCUCUUUGAGCAAACGGGGCGGAGAUAGAGCGUAUACGCUGAGACCCGAAAGAUGGUGAACUAUGCCUGAGCAGGAUGAAGCCAGAGGAAACUCUGGUGGAGGUCCGAAGCGAUUCUGACGUGCAAAUCGAUCGUCCGACUUGGGUAUAGGGGCGAAAGACUAAUCGAACUAUCUAGUAGCUGGUUCCCUCU
rnacentral:rRNA from 1 species